rnacentral:rRNA from 1 species
UAGAAGGUGAUCAUGGCUCAGAUUGAACGCUGGCGGCAGGCCUAACACAUGCAAGUCGAACGGUAACAGGAUGUGCUUGCACAUCGCUGACGAGUGGCGGACGGGUGAGUAAUGCUUGGGAACUUGCCUUUGCGAGGGGGAUAAACAGUUGGAAACGACUGCUAAUACCGCAUAAUGUCUUCGGACCAAACGGGGCUUCGGCUCCGGCGCAAAGAGAGGCCCAAGUGAGAUUAGCUAGUUGGUAAGGUAACGGCUUACCAAGGCGACGAUCUCUAGCUGUUCUGAGAGGAAGAUCAGCCACACUGGGACUGAGACACGGCCCAGACUCCUACGGGAGGCAGCAGUGGGGAAUAUUGCACAAUGGGGGAAACCCUGAUGCAGCCAUGCCGCGUGUGUGAAGAANGCCUUCGGGUUGUAAAGCACUUUCAGUUGUGAGGAAAAGUUGUAGUUAAUACCUGCUAGCCGUGACGUUAACAACAGAAGAAGCACCGGCUAACUCCGUGCCAGCAGCCGCGGUAAUACGGAGGGUGCGAGCGUUAAUCGGAAUUACUGGGCGUAAAGCGCACGCAGGCGGUUUGUUAAGCUAGAUGUGAAAGCCCCGGGCUCAACCUGGGAUGGUCAUUUAGAACUGGCAGACUAGAGUCUUGGAGAGGGGAGUGGAAUUCCAGGUGUAGCGGUNAAAUGCGUAGAUAUCUGGAGGAACAUCAGUGGCGAAGGCGACUCCCUGGCCAAAGACUGACGCUCAUGUGCGAAAGUGUGGGUAGCGAACAGGAUUAGAUACCCUGGUAGUCCACACCGUAAACGCUGUCUACUAGCUGUGUGUGCCUUUAAGGCGUGCGUAGCGAAGCUAACGCGCUAAGUAGACCGCCUGGGGAGUACGGCCGCAAGGUUAAAACUCAAAUGAAUUGACGGGGGCCCGCACAAGCGGUGGAGCAUGUGGUUUAAUUCGAUGCAACGCGAAGAACCUUACCUACACUUGACAUGCUGAGAAGUUACUAGAGAU